rnacentral:rRNA from 1 species
CGUAUAGAACCUACCUUUUACAGAGGAAUAGCCUUUAGAAAUGAAGAUUAAUGCCUCAUAGUAUUGUAGACUGGCAUCAGUUUAUAAUUAAAGAUUUAUCGGUAAAAGAUGGCUAUGCGUCCUAUUAGUUAGUUGGUAAGGUAACGGCUUACCAAGACAGCGAUAGGUAGGGGUCCUGAGAGGGAGAUCCCCCACACUGGUACUGAGACACGGACCAGACUCCUACGGGAGGCAGCAGUGAGGAAUAUUGGACAAUGGAGGAGACUCUGAUCCAGCCAUGCCGCGUGUAGGAAGAAUGCCCUAUGGGUUGUAAACUACUUUUAUACAGGAAGAAACACUGGUAUGUAUACCAGCUUGACGGUACUGUAAGAAUAAGGACCGGCUAACUCCGUGCCAGCAGCCGCGGUAAUACGGAGGGUCCGAGCGUUAUCCGGAAUCAUUGGGUUUAAAGGGUCCGCAGGCGGUCGAUUAAGUCAGAGGUGAAAUCCCAUAGCUCAACUAUGGAACUGCCUUUGAUACUGGUUGACUUGAGUCAUAUGGAAGUAGAU